rnacentral:rRNA from 1 species
AUUGAACGCUGGCGGCAGGCCUAACACAUGCAAGUCGAGCGAGCGGCGGACGGGUGAGUAAUGUCUGGGAAACUGCCUGAUGGAGGGGGAUAAUUUCUGGAAACGGUAGCUAAUACCGCAUACCAUCAGAUGUGCCCAGAUGGGAUUAGCUAGUAGGUGGGGUAACGGCCCACCUAGGCGACGAUCCCUAGCUGGUCUGAGAGGAUGACCAGUCACACUUGAACUGAGACACGGUCCAGACUCUGACGGGAGGCAGCAGUGGGGAAGAUUGCACAGUGGGCGCAGGCCUGAUGCAGCCAUGCCGCGUGUGUGAAGAAGGCCUUCGGGUUGUAAAGCACUUACAGCGGGGAGGCAUUACCCGCAGAAGAGGCACCGGCUAACUCCGUGCCAGCCGCCGCGGUAAUUC